AUGGGGAAUCUUCCGCAAUGGACGAAAGUCUGACGGAGCAACGCCGCGUGAGUGAAGAAGGUUUUCGGAUCGUAAAGCUCUUUCGUUAGGGACGAACGUGCUCUUUGUGAAUAAUGAGGAGUAAUGACGGUACCUAAAUAAGAAGCCACGGCUAACUACGUGCCAGCAGCCGCGGUAAUACGUAGGUGGCAAGCGUUGUCCGGAAUUAUUGGGCGUAAAGCGCGCGCAGGCGGGAUAUCAAGUCUGUCUUAAAAGUGCGAGGCUCAACCUCGUGAGGGGACAGAAACUGGUAUUCUUGAGUGUCGGAGAGGAAAGUGGAAUUCCAAGUGUAGCGGUGAAAUGCGUAGAGAUUUGGAAGAACACCAGUGGCGAAGGCGACUUUCUGGACGAUGUCUGACGCUGAGGCGCGAAAGCUAGGGGAGCGAACGGGAUUAGAAACCCUUGUAGUCC
rnacentral:rRNA from 1 species